rnacentral:rRNA from 1 species
GACGUAGGGGGCGAGCGUUGUCCGGAUUUAUUGGGCGUAAAGAGCGCGUAGGCGGCCCGGAAAGUCGGAUGUGAAAACCCGGGGCUCAACCCCGGGCCUGCAUCCGAUACUCCCGGGCUGGAGGCAGGUAGGGGAGAUCGGAAUUCCUGGUGUAGCGGUGAAAUGCGCAGAUAUCAGGAAGAACACCCGUGGCUAAGGCGGCUCUCUAGUACGGUACUGACGCUGAGACGCGAAAGCGUGGGGAGCGAACAGG